GUAGGUGGCAAGCGUUGUCCGGGAAUUAUUGGGCGUAAAGCGCGCGCAGGCGGUUCUUUAAGUCUGAUGUCGAAAGCCACGGGCUCAACCGUGGAGGGUCAUUGGAAACUGGAGAACUUGAGUACAGAAGAGGAAAGCGGAAUUCCACGUGUAGCGGUGAAAUGCGUAGAGAUGUGGAGGAACACCAGUGGCGAAGGCGGCUUUCUGGUCUGUAACUGACGCUGAGGCGCGAAAGCGUGGGGAGCAAACAGGAUUAGAUACCCUGGUAGUCCACGCCGUAAACGAUGAGUGCUAAGUGUUAGGGGGUUUCCGCCCCUUAGUGCUGCAGCUAACGCAUUAAGCACUCCGCCUGGGGAGUACGGCCGCAAAGGCUG
rnacentral:rRNA from 1 species